ensembl:piRNA 21ur-6799 ncRNA
UGAAUAUGAAUGACGAACGGA